GCAGAUGUGGCGGAAUGGCAGACGCGCUAGCUUCAGGUGCUAGUGCUCGCAAGGGCGUGGGGGUUCAAGUCCCCCCAUCUGCACCA
rnacentral:tRNA from 1 species